GAUCUGGGAGUGUUUAUAUUGCUGUGACUUUAACACUUCAUGACUGAGAGCUGCUGCUACAGCAACUUCACCCACAGCUACCAUGACUUUGAUCCCCGUCUUCAUCUGGACACUGAUCCUCUGGACUCAAGAAUGCAGAGGUCAAGUCACAGUAACUCAGACUCCUGCAGUGAAAGCUGUUCUUCCAGGAGAAACAGUCACCAUCAACUGUAGAACCAGUCCAGCAGUGUAUUAUCACAGCUCUUUUGGUCACUUCUUAAACUGGUAUCAGCAGAAACCCGGAGAAGCUCCUAAAUUCCUGAUUAAGCUCGCAAAUCAGCGACAGUCAGGUUUUCCAGGUCGUUUCAGUGGCAGUGGAUCUGGAUCUGAUUUCACUCUGACCAUCAGUGGAGUCCAGACUGAAGAUGCAGGAGAUUACUACUGUCAGAGUCACCAUUCCAUCACUGGCUACUGGUUCACACAGUGUUAUAGAGUCGUACAAAAACCUCCCUCACUCAGAUUGUAGAGAGACUGAACUGCUGCAGCUGGGAGCGACUGCAGGUGCUGAGUUGGAGGAUGUGAUAUUACACAAUGACACUCUGUGAAGGAGAAAAAACACUAUUGUAAGAUAAACUCUGUUUUCUGAUUUUAUGAUUUUCAUGGUGUCAUUGUUCUCGUAACAAGCCAAUCAGUCAGACUGAUUAAGCUUCUUGGAAGAGUAGUGAAACGUUUUGAGCAAACAAGAAAGUAAUACAGAUAACAUGACUGAUCCUCCAGAUAACCUAACCAGGAUGACUGAGAAUUUUCACAUACACUGAUGACUGAGAAUACACCACCCCCUCCCCCAGGAGCAGCACCUGAUGCCCUGCUUCUGCGACGAGGACGACCCCUAGCCCUGGGCGCCGGGCGGCGUGGGUGGGCAGCAUGGAACUCCACCAGCAGAGCCGGGUCCAUCACAUCUUGCCGGGCCACCCAAGACCGAUCCUCCAAGCCGUAACCCUCCCAGUCCACCAGGUAUUCGAGGCGACCCCCGCGCCUUCUGGAGUCCAGGACCUCACACACUGCGUAGACACCAGGCUGAGCUACGACUUCCAGCUGGACAGGCGCCAUGUAGCCACCUGGAGGGCGAGAGACAGGCGAGAUACACGGUUU